CCCGUUUCACGAUUCAUUUUAACGCCUAACUCGGCCUCGGAGACAGAUUUCCUCUCUUAUAGAUGGCGUAGCUGCACAUAUAUGAAUAUUCCGUACAUUACUGGAAACAUCGAUACAGAUUCAAUCAAUUCUGUUACCGCUUCCUGGAGUUAUCCUAGUAACGAUAUAAACGUCUUGUCGGAUCUCCAUAUGGCCUAUGGGUGACGAAACUUUAGACGUGGACAUUUCAUCGGCAGUGGAUAGUGCAGGUUGAUUAUUGCGUUAGCUUUUUUAGACGUUCCUACUCUACCAUCCUUUUUAUUUUCUGGACAAACGAAGUUAAACCUUGUACUUCGUUGAAAACGUGAUAUUAGGACAGUAUGUAACACUUGAUUUUGGAGCCAUUUUGCUAUUUGCCGCCAGCUCUCUGUAGUCCUACUGAUUAGAACAGCACAAGAGAACUCCUUCCGGCAAAACACCAUUCAAGUGCCACAGAAGAAAUCCAUUACGCUCUUUAACAGUCAAUAUUGACUGUCUCUAUGCCUAGACGACGUGUACGAUAGCAUGGUGACAAAAUUAGAACUCAUGUGAGGAAGUCGUCAUUUGUCUCACGCGCAUCGCAGGACUAAAAAUUUUAACUGUUCAUCUAUUAAGAUAUAAAAAUGGGCGAAUUGAAAUAUGAAAUAACGUGACUUUUUACUCUAAAGCCCUCUCAUUUGACUUUAAAAUAUGUUUUGGCAAUAUGAUAGCAUAAAUAGAUAUUGUUGUUUACUUCGCGCUUACAUAAAUAAAAUAAUAAAUUUCAUCUAAAUUAUCGCUCACUUUGGGUGUUGAAAUAAAUUUACCCCUUAGUGAUAGCACAUUGAGGGCAGUGAACCAAAGAAAAGUUUAUAAGAAAAACAAUUUUCAAAUGCAGUCUCAGUUGCUCAGGUGCUAACUCUGCUGUAAGGAUAGUAGGCAUUUGUAAGAUUUUUUACACUGUAAAAAAAUAGGACAAUCAGUCCACCCCCACCUCACAAGAGAUUAUGCUUCUUACCUCUCUUGCCCCAAUCAGUGUUUACAUUAAAAAACAA